rnacentral:snRNA from 1 species
AGGUUUAUAGGGCAGGGACAAUACCAGGAUCACAAAGGUGGUUUUCCCAGGGCAAGACCAUUACACUCUGGAUGUGCCCCUUGAGAUUUCCCUAAACAUGAGAAAUUCCACUGCAUGAUUUGUGGUAGUGGGGGAUGGAAUUCACACUGUUCCCAU